rnacentral:sRNA from 1 species
CCAGCCUGGCCGGAACUACAGCGUGUCCUUGGCGCUGAAAUUCUGAUCAGGCGGAGCGGCGCGCGCGGGCGGGAAGCCGCGCGCGCCGACAUCCU